CAGUAGCGCGGUAAUACGUAGGUCCCGAGCGUUGUCCGGAUUUAUUGGGCGUAAAGCGAGCGCAGGCGGUUAGAUAAGUCUGAAGUUAAAGGCUGUGGCUUAACCAUAGUACGCUUUGGAAACUGUUUAACUUGAGUGCAAGAGGGGAGAGUGGAAUUCCAUGUGUAGCGGUGAAAUGCGUAGAUAUAUGGAGGAACACCGGUGGCGAAAGCGGCUCUCUGGCUUGUAACUGACGCUGAGGCUCGAAAGCGUGGGGAGCAAACAGGAUUAGAUACCCGAGUAGUCCCUGUCUCUUAUACAC
rnacentral:rRNA from 1 species